rnacentral:ncRNA from 1 species
GAACAAAAGUCUUGGUCCUAAACCUAGCGCUAACCACCCCUAAAACUAUACAUGCACGCCUCAACAAAACAGUGAGUAACCCACCUAAUCACAAAGACAAAACGGAGUAAGAAUGAGACACCCGACACCGGGUCAAAAAUAAAGAAGCACCACACCUACACAGGAAUUCAGCAGUAACUAACAUUGGGCAAUAAGCGGAAGCUUGACCCAGCUAUAGGAAAAUAAAGCCGGUAAAACUCGUGCCAGCUACCGCGGUUAUACGAGAGGCUUAAGAUAGCGCCACCCGGCAGAAAAAUGGCCAGAGAACAUCAUAAAGCUUAAGAAGGAAGGAAAGUCAAGCUGUCCAACGCCAAGAGCCCACGAACCCGCCCACUUAACUAACUGACCCCUUAAACCAUCAAAGCUGGGGAACAAACUAGGAUUAGACACCCUACUAUGCCCAGCCAUAAAAGGUUCGCCACUGAACCCGCCAGAUGAGUACGAGCGAAAGCUUAAAACUCAAAGGACUUGACGGUAUUCCACAUCAACCUAGAGGAGCCUGUCCUAUAAUCGAUAACCCACGCUAAAACCUCGCCACCCCUUGCCAACCAGUCUAUAUACCGCCGUCGUCAGUUCACCCUGCAAAAGAACAAAAGUGGGCAUAAUAGUUUAUUACACUAAAACGACAGGUCAAAGCGUAGCUAACGGGAUGGGCUGAGAUGGGCUACAUUUUCUAAUACAGACUACACCAAAAGCCUAUGAAAAACGCCAGAAAGGUGGAUUUAGCAGUAAGACGGAACAGAAAGCCCGCCUGAACACAGCACUGGAAUGCGCACACACCGCCCGUCACCCCCAUCUACCACACAACAAAAAUUCAUAAUGCCAACACAGCACCAAGAUGGGGAAAGUCGUAACAAGGUGAGCGUACUGGAAGGUGCGCUCGUACAC